GUGUAUUUUUUGUUUUGUUAUGCAAACUUGAUUUGACAGGUUUACCAUAAUUGCACCCCAGCCCAUGACCUCGGCGGAAGUAUAGGUGUCAUUCACUUCGUCGUAAUAACUGAAGUUGACGUAGAGCCCAAGGUACGCGCCUGAAUGCGGUUCUCCUCCGGAUCCUGCAGGAUUAGUGAAUAUUGGGCGAUGACCACCGCUACAUCCCAUUCCGAUCUCCUUUUUUUUUAACAGGCUGCACUGCAAGCCGGCGGUUGUUGGCCAGCAUUCCGGUUCAACCACGCAUAAUAAGAGGACAGUCGAGUAUAAAGUGUCGGCAAGAAUAGCUCUUUGCAUCCUGUAUUUCUCGAUGCAACUCCGACG